GGGUCUCCACUUUAGUAAUGGUAUAUUUCAUCAUCUCCCUCCUUUCUCUUUCAGAUGAUUUCUGUGUUUAUACAAGUAUCGACAUGAUGCCUUCAGAUGCAGACUUCCUGAAGAAGCACAAGACAGAGCUUUGUUCCAGGAUGGGGCAGAUCUCCUCCAUUCUACUACUCUUAAGGGAUGAAGGUGUAAUCAACAGUAAAGAAGAAGAGGAGGUGCGAGCUCAAAA